GACGAACGCUGGCGGCGUGCUUAACACAUGCAAGUCGAACGAAGUGGCGAACGGGUGAGUAACGCGUAAUCAAACUGCCCUUCAGAGGGGGACAACAGUUGGAAACGACUGCUAAUAACGCAUACUGAAGGAGGGGAUUGCGUCGGAUGAGCUAGUUGGAGGGGUAACGGCCCACCAAGGCGAUGAUCAGUAGCCGGUCUGAGAGGAUGAACGGCCACAUGUGGCCUGAGACACGGCCCAGACUCCUACGGGAGGCAGCAGUGGGGAAUCUGCCGCAAUGGACGAAAGUCUGACGGAGCAACGCCGCGGGAGUGAUGACGGCCUUCGGGUUGUAAAGCUCUGGUAAUCGGGACGCGGUACCGGAAUAGAAAGCCACGGCUAACGACGUGCCAGCAGCCGCGGUAAUAC
rnacentral:rRNA from 1 species